rnacentral:ncRNA from 1 species
UGCGACUCGCAGCCACCUGAAGAACCCGGAAGAAAGAACCACCAACCCUCCCUCCCACCGCAGUUCACUCACAGGGGUGAACUGCUUGCGACGAAGGGAGGCAGGCCGCCAGGUUCGCCCCGACAGGCACCGAACCCCGGACCGCAGACGUCCGGACAGCAAGACGGCCCCCGCCGGGACGGCAAUCCCGAACGAGGGCCUGACCGAGCAGGAAGUAACGCUUCCCC